CCUACGGGAGGCAGCAGUGGGGGAUAUUGCACAAUGGGGGAAACUCUGAUGCAGCGACGCCGCGUGGGUGAAGAAGCUCUUCGGCGCGUAAAGCUCUGUCAGCAGGGAAGAAAAUGACGGUACCUGAAGAAGAAUCACCGGCUACCUACGGGCAGGCAGCCGCGGCAAUACGUAGGGGGCAGGCGUUAUCCGGAUUUACUGGGUGUAAAGGGGGCGAAGACGGCGAUGAAAGCCAGAAGUGAAAGCCCGGAGCCUAACCCCGGGACUGCUCUUGGAACUGCGUGGCUAGAGUGCAGGAGGGGCAAGCGGAAUUCCUGGUGUAGCGGUGAAAUGCGUAGAUAUUAGGAGGAACACCAGUGGCGAAGGCGGCCUGCUGGACUGCAACUGACGUUGAGGCACGAAAGCGUGGGUAGCAAACAGGAUUAGAUACCCGUGUAGUC
rnacentral:rRNA from 1 species